AUUGAACGCUGGCGGCAUGCCUUACACAUGCAAGUCGAACGGCAGCACGGACUUCGGUCUGGUGGCGAGUGGCGGACGGGUGAGUAAUGCAUCGGAACGUGUCCUAAAGUGGGGGAUAACGCAUCGAAAGAUGUGCUAAUACCGCAUAUUCUCUGAGGAGGAAAGUAGGGGAUCGAAAGACCUUAUGCUUUUGGAGCGGCCGAUGUCUGAUUAGCUAGUUGGUAGGGUAAUGGCUUACCAAGGCGACGAUCAGUAGUUGGUCUGAGAGGACGACCAGCCACACUGGGACUGAGACACGGCCCAGACUCCUACGGGAGGCAGCAGUGGGGAAUUUUGGACAAUGGGCGCAAGCCUGAUCCAGCCAUGCCGCGUGAGUGAAGAAGGCCUUCGGGUUGGUUAAAG
rnacentral:rRNA from 1 species